UAUAAAAUUGGCUAUUGCAGACCUCACCUAAACCUAAAACUGUUGAAAGGAAAAAAACCAGAUGCUCUGACCUGCAAGGGAGAAGAACAGAUACUGAGAGGAAGACACAGUGUUCCAGGAAACCCGAAGAUGGUUAAUCCUCAAAAACGAUCAAUUAAAAAGACUGUAGGAGUGAGCCAGCUUCCACAGCUAAAGCACUGAUUUAAUAUCAAUGCCAAGAACUUCCAGUCACUUUUUAAAAAAUUUAAUUUGAC
rnacentral:lncRNA from 1 species